CUAGCGACAGGCCUAACACAUGCAAGUCAGGGGCAGCACAAGGAGCAAUCUGAGGUGGCGACCGGCGCACGGGUGAGUAACACGUAUGCAACCUGCCUGUAAGCGGGGAAUAACCCGUUGAAAGACGGACUAAUACCGCAUAAUACUAAAUUACUGCAUGGUAAUUUAUUUAAACAUUUAUGGCUUACAGAUGGGCAUGCGCAUGAUUAGCUAGUUGGAGAGGUAACGGCUCCCCAAGGCAACGAUCAUUAGGGGUUCUGAGAGGAAGGUCCCCCACACUGGUACUGAGACACGGACCAGACUCCUACGGGAGGCAGCAGUGAGGAAUAUUGGUCAAUGGACGAGAGUCUGAACCAGCCAAGUCGCGUGCAGGAAGAAUGUCCCUAUGGAUUGUAAACUGCUUUUGCAGGGGAAUAAAGUGCAUCACGUGUGAUGUUUUGUAUGUACUCUGCGAAUAAGGAUCGGCUAACUCCGUGCCAGCCGCCGC
rnacentral:rRNA from 1 species